UCCACACGGGGGAUCCGCUCGUGCCCUCCUCAGUGUAGAUUCCACAUCCACACGGGGGAUCCGCUCGUGCCCUCCUCAGUGUAGAUCCACAUCCACACGGGGGAUCCGCUCGUGCCCUCCUCAGUGUAGAUCCACAUCCACACGGGGGAUCCGCUCGUGCCCUCCUCAGUGUAGGUCCACAUCCACACGGGGGAUCCGCUCGUGCCCUCCUCAGUGUAGAUCCACAUCCACGCGGGGGAUCCGCUCGUGCCCUCCUCAGUGUAGAUCCACAUCCACGCGGGGGAUCCGCUCGUGCCCUCCUCAGUGUAGAUCCACAUCCACGCGGGGGAUCCGCUCGUGCCCUCCUCAGUGUAGAUCCACAUCCACGCGGGGGAUCCGCUCGUGCCCUCCUCAGUGUAGAUCCACAUCCACGCGGGGGAUCCGCUCGUGCCCUCCUCAGUGUAGGUCCACAUCCACACGGGGGAUCCGCUCAUCCCUCCUCAGUGUAGAUCCACAUCCACGUGGUGGAUCCGCUCGUGCCCUCCUCAGUAUAGAUCCACAUCCACACGGGGGAUCCGCUCGUGCCCUCCUCAGUGUAGAUCCACAUCCACGCGGGGGAUCCGCUCGUGCCCUCCUCAGUGUAGAUCCACAUCCACGCGGGGGAUCCGCUCGUGCCCUCCUCAGUGUAGAUCCACAUCCACACAGGGGAUCCGCUCGUGCCCUCCUCAGUGUAGGUCCACAUCCACACGGGGGAUCCGCUCAUCCCUCCUCAGUGUAGAUCCACAUCCACGCGGGGGAUCCGCUCGUGCCCUCCUCAGUGUAGAUCCACAUCCACAUGGGGGAUCCGCUCGUGCCCUCCUCAGUGUAGAUCCACAUCCACGCGGGGGAUCCGCUCGUGCCCUCCUCAGUGUAGGUCCACAUCCACACGGGGGAUCCGCUCGUGCCCUCCUCAGUGUAGAUCCACAUCCACACGGGGGAUCCGCUCGUGCCCUCCUCAGUGUAGAUCCACAUCCACGCGGGGGAUCCACUCGUGCCCUCCUCAGUGUAGGUCCACAUCCACACGGGGGAUCCGCUCGUGCUCACAGGGUAGAUCCACAUCCACGUGGUGGAUCCGCUCGUGCCCUCCUCAGUGUAGAUCCACAUCCACGCGGGGGAUCCGCUCGUGCCCUCCUCAGUGUAGAUCCACAUCCACACGGGGGAUCCGCUCGUGCCCUCCUCAGUGUAGGUCCACAUCCACACGGGGGAUCCGCUCGUGCCCUCCUCAGUGUAGAUCCACAUCCACGUGGUGGAUCCGCUCGUGCCCUCCUCAGUAUAGAUCCACAUCCACACGGGGGAUCCGCUCGUGCCCUCCUCAGUGUAGAUCCACAUCCACGCGGGGGAUCCGCUCGUGCCCUCCUCAGUGUAGAUCCACAUCCACGUGGGGGAUCCGCUCGCGCUCUCCUCGGAGCACCUGUGAUCGGCGUUAAUCCUGGUGUGAGAGAGCGCUCCCGAGUCGGAAGCGUGGGCGAGUGCUUGGCUUCAGUGUGUGGCAGCCAUGACGCCUGCGACGCAGCGCCGGGGGUAGUGCCGGUGGAGUCGUCCCCAGACCUCAUUGCU